rnacentral:lncRNA from 1 species
ACUUUGUUACGAAUCUCUCUUAACACAGGCUAGCAUGAUCCAAACAAGCCCCCAACUCAUCGCCCAUGCAGCCCUAAACGUGACCCUUUCAACCGCCAAGUCAACCUCGGCCAUGAUGGUGAAGCUUGCCAAAAGCCAAGGAUUGAAGCCUACAGAGGUGGGCGCCAUGCAAGAUUGCGUGGAGGAAUUGGAGGACACGAUAGAUGAGCUGAGAAAGUCAAUCAGCGAGAUGGGUCAGAUUAAAGGCUCCAAUUUUGGACUAAUGAUUAACGAUAUACAGACAUGGGUUAGCGCUGCUUUGACGGAUGAGAACACCUGCGCCGACGGGUUUGGAGGGAAAAACAUGAACGGCAGUAUAAAGACUGCUGUGAGAUCCAAGAUUGUCACAAUCGCUCAUUUGACAAGUAAUGCCUUGGCUUUGGUCAAC